GAAAGAGAGCGGUUCUUGAACGCAAACUCAGAAUUCCAUUUCCAAUUAAUCGAACACAAGUAGAAGCUCCGGUUUUCUGCGAAACAAGCUUCAGCUUCAAUCUUCUUUGCCGUCUGGAUUUCUAGGUUUCGCAUGGACGCUGUAUACGAAUCACCGUCUGGUUUGGAAUCGAAGGAGGAUGAUCCGAUGAUAGUAGAUGAUCUCAAUUCUACGGUUCUCGAUCUCACCAGCUUUCAGCUCCAUGACCUGGACUCUAUUGAGUUGCCUUCGAGUUUAAUGGAAUUGGACCUGACGGCAAAUCGACUUUCGAGUUUGGACUCUCGGAUUGGAGAGCUCUCGAACCUGAAGAAGCUCUCUCUUCGUCAGAAUCUCAUUAAUGAUGCUGCGGUUGAAUCGCUUUCUCGCUGGAACGCUCUGUCAGGUCUCGAGGAACUUAUUCUCAGAGACAAUCAAAUGACGAAAAUUCCUGAUGCGAGCAUAUUCAAGAGGCUUUUGGUAUUUGAUGUUUCUUUCAACGAAAUCACUUCGCUACAUGGCUUGUCCAAGGUCUCCGAUUCACUGACGGAACUUUAUGUAUCUAAGAAUGAAGUUGUUAAAAUGGAAGAGCUAGAUCACUUCCAUCAGUUACAGAUUCUUGAGCUUGGUUCCAAUAGACUGCGGGUAAUGGAGAAUUUGCGAAACUUAGUGAAUUUGCAAGAGCUAUGGUUAGGGCGUAACCGGAUCAAGGCAGUAAACCUUUGUGGACUAAGAUGUCUCCAGAAAAUUAGUCUGCAAAGCAACCGUUUGACUUCAAUGACAGGAUUUGAGGGCUGUAUUGCUUUGGAAGAAUUAUAUCUGAGCCAUAAUGGAAUUUCAAAAAUUGAAGGCAUUUCAACGUUAGUCAAUCUUCGUAUUUUGGAUGUUUCAUCGAAUAAGCUAACGAGUGUGAGUGGCACUGAAAAACUGACACGUUUAGAAGAUUUAUGGCUUAACGACAACCAAAUUGAAUCACUUGAAAGCAUUUCUGAGGAUGUUGCAGGUUCAAGAGAGAAACUGACGACCAUCUACCUUGAGAACAAUCCAUGUGCAAAGACUCCCAACUAUUUUGCCAGACUAAAACAGAUUUUCCCAAACAUACAGCAAAUUGACUCGGAGAUCUUUACAAAGGACUUUUGAGAGUACACUGCAGCUUCUCGUGGACCGCCAUAAUAUACAAAGAUGGCUACAAAAAUAUCUCUUCUGAUUAUAAAAGCUAUCAAACAUUGAGUAAAGUUGGAAAUUGUGAAAAAUUAUCAAUUAUGGAUAAAAUGCCGAGGAGACUUUAUUCGUUUGUGGACUUCUGCCCUGCUCUCUUUUUAAGGUUGUGUGUUAAAUAAUUAGUACUUAUUUAACCAAAUUUUGCAUGUUAUUUGGAGUCCAAAAAUUUGUUUGUGGAGUUUGAAUUUGGAGUUCUAGAGGUAUUUCAAUGUUCAGUGGUCUAGUUCCAAGUCUAAUGUCUUAUUUUCUGAAUUGUAAAUUUUUCUUGAGUGGGCCAGCUGAAAAUGUCGUUUUUGCCCCCU